rnacentral:lncRNA from 1 species
CAGCCCCAGUCCUCAUCCCAACAAUAUCAGUGUUUGUGGGAUAGAUGAGCCAUGCGAUCCCAAUAUGGCAGCCAACAGGGGGUUUUAAGCUGGGUUUCACACAGGGGCAUCCUGACAUGCUGCUCUUCCUUGCUGAGGAAUGAGAUGAGUUACUGGCAUUUGAAAAACAAGUUAGUGGAGAACAAAGCACGCUUCGCUUCGGCUUUCCCAGGAGUAAUACAUACCCCCAGGCCGUCUGAUUUGGAACCUGUGUACAAGAACUUUGAAGGCCCUGCUAAUCUCAGAAGCUGCUGUACCUUGUUCCAUCCCUGCAGCAUCUCUCUCUGCCUGCCACUGAGGUUCUCACUCCCAUUUUACAGGGUGAAUGGAUGGCACGUGAGACCUGCCCACACCAUCUCAUUAUGAACAGAAGAGGUGCAUCCUGGCAUCCUCUUGCCACAUCAGCUGCACACCCAGAUCACCCACCGUAAGCAGCUGGGGAGGGUGAGGUGGAGGUGAUUCAAGUUCAUGGACUGCAUGUGGCUUGCUUUGUGACAGGGUGUUGUCCUGUGUGGACUUUUGUGCAGUUU